rnacentral:rRNA from 1 species
UACGUAGGGUGCAAGCGUUAAUCGGAAUUACUGGGCGUAAAGCGUGCGCAGGCGGUUUUGUAAGACUGUCGUGAAAUCCCCGGGCUUAACCUGGGAAUGGCGAUGGUGACUGCAAGGCUAGAGUUUGGCAGAGGGGGGUAGAAUUCCACGUGUAGCAGUGAAAUGCGUAGAGAUGCGGAGGAACACCGAUGGCGAAGGCAGCCCCCUGGGCUAACACUGACGCUCAGGCACGAAAGCGUGGGGAGCAAACAGG